rnacentral:rRNA from 1 species
GACGAACGCUGGCGGCGUGCUUAACACAUGCAAGUCGAACGGAAAGGCCCUGCUUUUGUGGGGUGCUCGAGUGGCGAACGGGUGAGUAACACGUGAGUAACCUGCCCUUGACUUUGGGAUAACUUCAGGAAACUGGGGCUAAUACCGGAUAGGAGCUCCUGCUGCAUGGUGGGGGUUGGAAAGUUUCGGCGGUUGGGGAUGGACUCGCGGCUUAUCCGCUUGUUGGUGGGGUAGGGGCUGACCAAGGCUUUGACGGGUAGCCGGCCUGAGAGGUUUAACGGCGACAAUGGGACUGAGAGAGGGACCAGAAUGCUACGGGAGGCAGAAGUGGGGAAUAUUGCACAAUGGGCGGAAGCCUGAUGCAGCAACGCCGCGUGCGGGAUGACGGCCUUCGGGUUGUAAACCGCUUUCGCCUGUGACGAAGCGUGAGUGACGGUAAUGGGUAAAGAAGCACCGGCUAACUACGUG